CCCACUUUACUUCCCUCCCCUCUCUAUUCAUUCUAUGCACUCUACAUAUACAUUUCCAGCCUAUCUCCACCAACCCUUUCUAAAACCGCUAAAUACAAACCCUUUCACAAAACUUUUAAAUCCUACUCCCAACUUCUCGUACUUUCAAUCAUUCUACUCCUAGCAGCUGGUGAUGUCUCUCCAAAUCCCGGUCCCACCUCCGCAAACCCACCAUUUGCUAACUCCAGGAAUCACAAUAAUCUCAAACCCAUCUCAUGUCACUCUUCCUUUAAAUCCUCCUUCCAUACUGCCCUCUGGAAUGCACGCUCUGUUUGCUGUGUUACUAAAUCCACUGCUGUGCACAACCUUUUCAUCUCUCGUUCCCUAGACUUCCCAGCCUUAAUAGAAACAUGGCUCUCUCCCUCUGACACCGAUACCCCUGCCUCUCUAUCCUUUGGUGGUCUUCAAUUUUCCCACAACCCAAGACACUCUAAAAGCAAAGGUGGUGGUGUAGGGUUUCUGCUCUCACCUCACUGCUCCUUUAAACCUCUACCCACACCCCUUCCCUCUCUUUCUCCUUAUUUGGAUUUCAUUCAAUUUGCCUUUUCAAACCCAUCUCUGCUAAUAUUACAGUUAUCUAUUGUCCCCUCCCCCUGGAUCCCCUCUUUCCUCUUCCUUGACCACGUUUCUGCUUGGCUUCCCUACUUCCUCUCCUCUAAGAUUCCAUCCCUAACUUCAACAUUCCCAUUAACCUACCCUUCUUCUCAAUAGCCUCAAAACUACUUCCCUUCGGCUAUCACAGUGAGCUAAGUCCGCCACCCAUGUAGCUGGCCAGGACCGGACAGGGAAAAACAUUUGGCCCGGGUAUUUAAAGGCAGAGCAGCCCAGUAGGG